CUACAAUGGUUGGUACAACGAGUUGCGAGUCGGUGACGGCGAGCUAAAUCCUCUUUAAAGCCAAUCUCAGUUCGGAUUGUAGGCUGCAACUCGCCUACAUGAAGUCGGAAUCGCUAGUAAUCGCGGAUCAGCACGCCGCGGUGAAUACGUUCCCGGGUCUU
rnacentral:rRNA from 1 species